rnacentral:ncRNA from 1 species
GGUUAAGCGACUAAGCGUACACGGUGGAUGCCCUGGCAGUCAGAGGCGAUGAAGGACGUGCUAAUCUGCGAAAAGCGUCGGUAAGGUGAUAUGAACCGUUAUAACCGGCGAUGUCCGAAUGGGGAAACCCAGUGCAAUUCGUUGCACUAUCGUUAACUGAAUACAUAGGUUAACGAGGCGAACCGGGGGAACUGAAACAUCUAAGUACCCCGAGGAAAAGAAAUCAACCGAGAUUCCCCCAGUAGCGGCGAGCGAACGGGGAGCAGCCCAGAGUCUGAAUCAGCUUGUGUGUUAGUGGAACGGUCUGGAAAGUCCGACGGUACAGGGUGAUAGUCCCGUACACCAAAAUGCACAGGCUGUGAACUCGAAGAGUAGGGCGGGACACGUGGUAUCCUGUCUGAAUAUGGGGGGACCAUCCUCCAAGGCUAAAUACUCCUGACUGACCGAUAGUGAACCAGUACCGUGAGGGAAAGGCGAAAAGAACCCCGGCGAGGGGAGUGAAAAAGAACCUGAAACCGUGUACGUACAAGCAGUGGGAGCACCUUCGGGUGUGACUGCGUACCUUUUGUAUAAUGGGUCAGCGACUUAUAUUCUGUAGCAAGGUUAACCGUAUAGGGGAGCCGCAGGGAAACCGAGUCUUAACUGGGCGUUAAGUUGCAGGGUAUAGACCCGAACCGGUGAU